rnacentral:piRNA from 1 species
UAGGUCUAUCCUUUUCAAAUU